AUACGGAGGAUGCAAGCGUUAUCCGGAUUUAUUGGGUUUAAAGGGUGCGUAGGCGGUUUGCUAAGCGGGAGGUGAAAUGCCGGCGCUCAACGUCGGAAGUGCCUCCCGAACUGGUGGACUUGAAUGACUCUGCCGUGGGAGGAAUGUGUAGUGUAGCGGUGAAAUGCUUAGAGAUUACACAGAACACCGAUUGCGAAGGCAUCUCACGAAGGGUUGAUUGACGCUGAGGCACGAAAGCGUGGGGAUCAAACAGGAUUAGAUACCCUGGUAGUCCACGCAGUAAACUAUGAUGGCUAACCGCUGGAUCCAUCGGUUCAGUGGCCAAGCGAAAGCGAUAAGCCAUCCACCUGGGGAGUACGACCGCAAGGUUGAAACUCAAAGGAAUUGACGGGG
rnacentral:rRNA from 1 species